GACGAACGCUGGCGGCGUGCCUAAUACAUGCAAGUCGAACGCAGUGGGGACGGGUGAGUAACACGUGGGUAACCUCCCAUCAGAGGGGAUAACACUUGGAAACAGGUGCUAAACCGAUACUGAUGGAUGGACCCGCGGUGCAUUAGCUAGUUGGUGGGGUAACGGCUCACCAAGGCCAGGAUGCAUAGCCGACCUGGGGGAUAGAGCGGCCACACGGGGACAGAGAGACGGACCGAGCUCCUACGGGAGGCAGAAGUAGGAAAUCUUCUGAGAUGGACGAAAGGCUGACCGAACAACACCGCGUGAAUGAAGAAGGUUUUCAGAUCGGAAAACUCUGUUGUUAGAGAAGCGGUAUCUAACCAGAAGGCCACGGCUAACUACGUGCCAACGGCCACGGUAAAAC
rnacentral:rRNA from 1 species